rnacentral:rRNA from 1 species
AUAGCGUAUAUUAAAGUUGUUGCAGUUAAAAAGCUCGUAGUUGAAUUUCUGGCCAGCACUGUUCUCGGCUCUCUGAGUCGGUUCCGUGUUUGGUCAUCCGUAUGGGAAGCUAGCUCGGCCUUCACUGGUCGGCUAGUGGAUCAUACACUUUACUUUGAAAAAAUUAGAGUGUUUCAGGCAGGCAAUUGCUUGGAUACUUCAGCAUGGAAUAAUGGAAUAGGACUUUGACCUAUUUGUUGGUUUCUUCGAGGUCAAGGUAAUGAUUAAUAGGGACAGUUGGGGGCAUUCAUAUUUAAUUGUCAGAGGUGAAAUUCUUGGAUUUAUUAAAGAUGAACUUAUG